GACGGAGGAUGCAAGUGUUAUCCGGAAUCACUGGGCGUAAAGCGUCUGUAGGUGGUUUAAAAAGUCUACUGUUAAAAAUUGAAGCUUAACUUCAAAGAUGCAAUGGAAACUUUUAAACUUGAGUAUGGUAGGGGUAGAGGGAAUUUCCAGUGGAGCGGUGAAAUGCGUAGAUAUUGGAAAGACCACCGAUGGCGAAGGCACUCUACUGGGCCAUUACUGACACUGAGAGACGAAAGCUAGGGGAGCAAAUGGG
rnacentral:rRNA from 1 species